rnacentral:misc_RNA from 1 species
AAUAAGUACACGAACACUAAGUGACAUUACUAUAUUCCCAUUAAACAAAGGUUAUAACUUAUUACAAAUAUAUAUAUAGAUAUAUAUAUAAGCGUUUGUUUUAAACUUACCAAGAAUAAAGAUUGUGAAGUUGUCGUACGGUAUAAGUUUUUCGAGUGAAAAAAGAAUUAUAAUCCAUACAAAAUGUGACUGAGCAUGAGUGAACUAAUCCAUCAACGGAGAUUCUUACUACUGGUUGACUGUCUUGCUGAAAAAUUAAGCACUGCAUAUGAAGAGUUUGCAUCUUUAGAAGUUGACAAAUUCCAUUCAAAAGAAAGAGAGGUGCAGUUAUACCGAGGUUCUUUACUAAUAGAACUUAAUCCUCAAGAACAUCUAAAAAACUGCUGUUCUCAGAACUUGUAUUGCCUGCGAUCAGUUGAUGAUGACAUGAUCACUGUGACUUGCCUUUCUCCUGAGAUUGAAGAACUCACAUCCUUUGAAUCUGACAUUUUACUUCCAAUUAAUCCAGUCCAGGAAAGAACUAAAGUUUACUUCAACAAACAAUGGCUUGGAGAGGCCUCUAUUAUUUCUGUAGGUUCACUUGUCACUGUUAAUUUUAGUGAAGGAAAGGAGCCAGCAGUGGGGAUUGUUAGAUAUAAAGGCAUUGUAACUGAAAUUGGACAGGGAAUAAUGUUUGGUGUGGAGCUUUUGACACAUCAGGAUUGUGGAUAUUCUGAUGGAUCAGUGAAAGGUACAAGAUACUUUGACUGUCCACAUGAUAUUGCUGUUUUUGUUGCUAUCAAUUGUCUCAAACUAAUGUCACAUCAACAGGCUCAAAAGUACAGGCCUGCCACCAGGCAGAAGAAUUAUUCUCUCUUAUCUAUCAGUUCUACAGAGAGCCAAAAACUCUUGAGUAGGUCUGGAUCCAGACCCCUUCCUCUGGAGUCUGCCUGUAUUGAUGACACUUUGGCUCCUGAACUGAAGCUAGGAAUUCGUGUUGUGUGGAUGAGUGAUGAUGGACCAGAAUAUGGUUGUGUGAGGUGGUUAGGAAAACUCCCUGAUACAGGAAGUGACUGGAUGGCAGGGAUAGAGUUUGACAAUCCAGUUGGUACUGGAACUGGAAGAUAUAACAAUCGUCAGCUGUUUGUAACUAAGCUUAACCAUGCUUCAUUAGUGCCAGUCAUAGGACUUAUAAAAGCAGAGGAUUUUGAGGAAAACAGAACAGGUCCAACAAGUGAAGGCUUAUUAUAUACUCUAAGACCAUCACGUUCUCAAUCAGAUGAUAGCGUAGUGGCAACAACUAGAUAUUCUUCACAGUCAUCCAGUUAUGGCUUUCAUGCUACAAUGAUGUCAUCAUCAGAAAAACCUAAUGCACGUGUUUACUCUCCUGUUGAAAAGCCCAGAAAAAAAAGUGUCCCCCUAGCAGAUGAAAAGAACAAGCCCUUUGAUUCAUUGUUAAAGAUAAAAAACUUAGCCUGCCAAGUGAAAGACUCCACUGCUAAAAUUCACAAUAAAGAACAAACUAACAUUCCUUCUAGUGCUUUAGUUUCAAGUGGGAAGUCUGGUAAUAAAAUUAAACAUAAAACCAAGCUUGAGGAAAAUAAAGAUUUUUUACUGCCACCUAGAAGUUGUGAGCCACCAAAAAUCCCUGAGACAAAUACAUAUCGGGUCAUUUCUGUGUCACAACCAGUUGUAUUUGAGACUCCAUUCUCACAGCAGCAAGUUUGUUCACCGUAUAAACUGCCUCAAGAAAUGUUAGGGAUACCAUGUCAAGGGCAAAGGAUAGGAACUUCUAGAGAAAGCUAUAAUAUUUUGACAAAUACAUCUGGUAGGAAGAAGCAACUAACAGGAUUAAGAAAACAGUCAGUAGUAGAUAACCUGGAAGUUGGUUCUGUUGUGGAGGUACUUGUUGAUGGGUUUUCUCACUAUGGUGUCAUCCGAUGGAUUGGUCAGCUACCAGAAGACAUGAAUGUGACUGCUGGUGUUGAGAUGGAAGAAGAAAUCCAUAUUGGUACUGAUGGUAUGUGUAAUGGACAUCGAUACUUUCAUUGCCCACCACGAAAAGCUGUAUUUGUUCGACUCAGUCAAUGUAAAAGAGACAGCCGAUUUCUGGAUAUGGACAAAAGAAAAAGUGCAGUUUUUGGAAGUAUUGACUCUCCUUCUGUGAUGGGUGAUAUUCCUCCUCUUUCAAACCUUGAUGAGCUUCAGAUGAUGUGUGGAAAGUUUAAAGGAAUCCAAGGGCACCACAAUUCAUGUUACUUAGAUGCCACUCUCUUUGCCAUGUUUGCUUUUACCAGUGUCUUUGAUUCCUUGCUUCAUCGACCUGCAAGAUUCAAUGAUAUUGUUGAAUAUUCUCAUGUUCAAAGGGUUCUGAAAGAAUCAAUUGUUAAUCCAUUACGAAAGAAUAUGUAUGUUAGAGCAGACAGAGUAAUGCAGCUCAGAACUUUACUUGAUGAACUGGGGUCAAUUAGGGGACUGACAAGUGAAGAGAAAGAUCCUGAAGAGUUUUUGAACUCACUUCUCAACCAGAUAUUAAAAGCAGAGCCCUUCCUCAAACUCAGUUCAGGUCAAGACACAUACUUGUACCAGCUGUUUGUGGAGAAGGAUGAUAGAUUGAAACUACCAACUGUCCAGCAAUUAUUUGACCAAUCAUUCCUGGCAUCUGACAUCAAGCUACAAGAGGUUCCUCCAAGUUUGUUGAUACAAAUGCCAAGAUUUGGGAAGCAGUUCAAGAUGUACCCACGGAUUAUCCCCAGUCAGUAUCUUAACAUCUCUGAUGUGCUAGCAGAUUCUCCUCGACAGUGUAUCAUUUGUGGCCAAGUUGCUGAAUAUGAAUGUAAAGAAUGUUUUGGUCAGUUUGGAGAUGGACUUGAGAGUACUGCAUUUUGUCAGAGGUGUUUAGACAAACACUGAAAUGAAACUCAGCUAAUCUCAAGAUGAAGGAAUUACUUUAAAAUGUGUUAUCUUUGACAUCCCCAACAAUGAAAAGAGACAUGGCCAAUUUUAAGAUGGAGGAAUGACUUUCAGUGAUAUAAAAAAAUGAAAUGAGACUCCAACAGUAUUAUUACAGCUCAUUGAUAAAGGUUGAUGCUAAAAUUAGUCAUGGCCACCAGAAAAGAGCUCACCAUACAACAAACCAACUGUGUGUACCUCAAGAAUUCAGAAUGAUCAAGGAUCACACCCCC